UACAGAGGUGGCAAGCGUUGUUCGGAAUUACUGGGCGUAAAGGGCGCGUAGGCGGCCUUAUAAGUCUCGUGUGAAAGCCCUCGGCUUAACUGAGGAUCUGCACGGGAUACUGUAGGGCUCGAGUUCGGGAGAGGAAAGCGGAAUUCCGGGUGUAGCGGUGAAAUGCGUAGAUAUCCGGAGGAACACCAGUGGCGAAGGCGGCUUUCUGGACCGACACUGACGCUGAGGCGCGAAAGCUAGGGGAGCAAAC
rnacentral:rRNA from 1 species